AAAAACCUCCUUCUCAUUAUUUAUAACACUGGUGUGUCCACAAGUACUCCCACUACACUCACAUCCAUAUGCAAUAUGCAUAUAUAUAUACAUAUAUAUAUAUAUACAUAUAUAUGCACACACAUAUAUAUGCACAAACACACAUACACACACAUAUAUAUGUAAAACUUUUCACAAGGGUGCUUUGGGUAUUUAAGUCAAAUUAGAUAUUGAUUGGUUAUUCACAAUAAAUUCAUGACAUCAUUGACCUAGCAUAUUUUGGAGGAAGGACAAAUUUUAGAUCAAUGUCUUUUUGGUUGGUUCUGUGUAUGUAUUUCACUUUUUGUAGCUUGCAAAGCCCUUCCCAUAACGAGGACUGUGGAACGUAGGAGCCAAUGUUCUUGGAGGCACCAGCUUGACCUCUUUAUACACAGUGAGUUGUGCAAGUCUGCUCGUUAGCAAUGAAGACUUAUUGUCAGUUUGUAAAAAGCAACACCUUUUGUUGUCGGUGCCCUGCAGUGUUCGUUUAUUUUUAUGAAACCACUUUGUAGAACAACUCAGUUGAUAAAACACAGUGGAAAAGACAAGAUCAACUGGAACUCCAUCUCUUUCAGAAUUCAGAGACUUAAUUAUAAUCACCUUCAUACACUUAUAAGCUGGUUCUUUAAAAAAAAAAAAAUCCAAACAUCUUACUAAGAAUACAGCCAGCCGAACUCCAUGGAGUUUUGUACCAUGGGGCUUUCCUAUGCAUUGGCAGAACCACAAGUGUGGCAAUGCAGUAUACAAAAGUUCUUACCUUCUAAUAGAUGGUGACUUUUCUUGGACCUUACAACCAGAGUUAAUGCAACUUGAAGAAAUUUAAAAUUUAAAACUGCAGUCCUACUGUGUAUUCAAAUUUAUGGUUUAGCUUUCUUUUUCAAAGAACAAUGUAAAAACAAACAUUAUUCUUUCCUUGUAUUUCUCUUGUGAUCAACUUUUAAAACCUAACGUGAUGCAUUGGUACAAUAAUAAUUUAUUGAUACAAUGGUAAUUUAUGUACUUUUUCAAGUCAUGUCCAGAACUGCCUGAGUGUCAUUUGUUGAAAGCAUGAAAUGCAGAGGCUCAGUGCAACCUUCUAAAAUGAAUAUACUAUUAUGUGUACUGAUUGAUAAACAGUGAUGUCUGUAAAUGCUUGUUGUCUUGAUCACUUGGAGCCAGUUACCUCAUCCUUUUUAAAACUCUGUUAAAGAUUUCUGUAUACUAUACCAUUCCUUCUCCAUGUAAUGGGGUUUUCUUGGUGUUCCCAAAAAUAUUGCAAAGGUCUUUCUUAAGACCAGCAAUGGAGAUACAAAAGCCAACAGACAUACAUACAGAGUACACAGAUAGACACAAACAGGGAGACAGAAGGCAGACACACAUGUAGAGAGAGAUGCACAAGGCAGUAUUCAGCAUGUUACAGAUUUAAAUUAACUGAAUAGACACGCAGGAUGGAAGGCUCAGAUAAGAGAAAGUAGAGAAUUCAACUUUGGACUCACACUUAGUUAAAUUAACUCUGAGGGAAAGACUAUUGAUUCUUUCCUUAACUCAGAUGCAUUAUUAAUCACCAGUGUGUUUAAUAUGUUCACAUAUGCAGAAUCAAUUAACUUGUGACCUAAUUUUCCUAUCUUUUUUUUUUUUGCAUAAACACAAUAUGGGAAAAUAUAAAACUCACCACAAUGGGUAACAAGUAGCCCUGCAUUCUGAAAGGUGUCCAUGGGCUCAGAACCCUGUUCUGUAAAGAAAGACCAUCAGAUCUGGGCUUGUGCUUCUGAGCUCUCACUACCAUGAUGGCCUAGAAUCCAUUUUAACUCUCACCGUCAUCACAACAGGAUUUGAACCUCAGAGGUCACAAGAGAAUCCUGGAACUCAUUACUUUCAUUAAAAGAGUUGACUUCAUGCCAUAUUCUCUAAGGUGACUUGGGUAAUUCUUGAGUCUCCUUACCCCAGCUUAUGAAGAUAUGCAUGGAUGUACAUAGAGUAUUAUAGAGCACAAUCAGGGAAUCUUCUAUGAACAAAUGGCUAAACAGUGCAGUAUGUAUUGUAGGUCUCUUUCUGUUUUCUUCCUUCCUUCCUUCCUUCCUUCCUUCCUUCCUUCCUUCCUUCCUUCCUUCCUUCCUUCCUUCCUUCCUUCCUUCCUUCCUUCCUUCCUUCUUUCCUUUCUUUAUUCUUUCUUUCUUUUGCCAAAAAUCUAGACACUUUUUCAAAGGAAUUUUUCUUAAUUGCCUCACCCUCCAAGCAGUAAAUAAUAUUGUGCCUAAACCUAACAUCACUUUAAUUCAUCAUUUUCUUUGACUAAGGUAUCCAGCUCCUCUACCUUUUGUCCAAGUCUAAUAAUCUGUGUCUCACACGUUCUCUAUGAGUUAUUAUUAUUCGCCUUACUGCAUUUUCUUUUCAGGCUCUUUUCCUUGUUUAUUUCUAAGCACAUAUUGAACAAAAUUUUUAUAUCCUAUGUUGUCCUCCUUUCCUUCAGGCUUUUGCUAUUAUUCUCUUGCCCACGAAUAAUUUUGUUCCUGUCCUCUAUCAAUUGACAUAUGUGGCUUACAUACUUUGAUCUCUUUUAUCAUGACUCUGGAUUUUCUAUUCUUUACCUAGGAUAUCAUGUAAAUUGCUCUCUUUAUAAGAUACAUACAUAGUUGAUAGUUUGAGCCAAAGACAUUUUAUCUUAGUUUUACUUUGUUUUGGGUAUUGAGCACCAGAAUUCAGAGGGAUUGCUUAAUUGUGUGCAUUUUUAGCCCAGGAGUCUAUACUCCCAAUGUGAGAAGUUAGGCAGGAUCCAUUGUAUCUGAAGGAUUCAGAACCCAGGUGCAGUCCCUACUACAUUCAGUUCUGGUCUAGUCUGGCAGCAACCUUGUAGGAAGCUGAGCAGAGUAGGUCCUGAGAAGUUGUGUUUCCACAACAGAGUUGGAGGAGUGGUUCCUGAUGGGGAGGGUGAGCCUCCUGCUUCAUUAGAUAAGUUUAAGAAAAAGAUAAAAUAAAAACAAAGAAU
rnacentral:lncRNA from 1 species